rnacentral:tRNA from 1 species
GUGGACGUAGCUCAGUAGGCAGAGCGCGACCUUGCCAAGGUCGAGGCCGCGGGUUCAAUCCCCGUCGUCCGCUCCA